UCUGAAUGACAAACAUGAUGUUUGUAAAUAAAUGCACUGAACCAGGAUGCAGGCAUUGUGCAGACUUUCUCACUCUUGAAGUCUCUCAAGGACAACCCAAUACUUAACCUAAUUCAAGCCAAGCAACUGCCCCAAAAAUGAUCCUAUAGGGAGAAGCCUUACAGUACUACACAGUUUCUUAAAAGGAUGUUAUUGACAAAGAAAUAGAUUCAUUUCUACCAGCACAUUUUCACAACCAGUCCUGAAAUGAUACUAAAUUAUACUCCUGAAUUCAAGGUCAUUUAAUUCAUUUUGUAUCGACCAGGCUGAGAAAACUGAGCUUGGGACAAAAACUUUGCAUUUACGGAUGACAAAUAAAAACGCUGUGCUCCCAAAACUGAACAGAUAGUUAUUCACCUUACGAUUGAUUAUCAUGCUACUGGUUUGAUUUUCAGCUAUUGGGAACUAAAAGAAACUGGAGGAAAAAGCUUUCAAAGCAAAAGCAGUGAAAUCCAAGUAAUGUGGUACCCAGCAUCCCACGCUGUAUCAGUUGGAAUCCAGACAUGGAAGGCACUUCAUGUUCUACAAUCAUCACCUGUUCUUCCAGAACAUAUUUUUGAUUAAUAACCUCAGAUUAAUUAAGGUUGUAUACUCAGUUCUAAAUUAUUCCUUUCCCUUUUUCAAUAUAAUUAAUUAUAUAUCCUAACGUGUGCAUUUUUUGAGGAAAUUGUUCUGCCUCAUACUCUGACAUUUAUCAAAGAUUUUGGGGUUUUUAUUUUAUUUCACUCCUACACAAACGUACUUCAAAAUCAAGUUUCUUCUGCCCAGAAAGAUGUACUCUUCCCUAAUCAGCCACAUGCAUGCUAAGUUGGUUAAACUUAAAGUACUCAUAACUCAAAAGCAAAAUAAAAACCUCACUAAGCAAAACUGCCUCCUCCGAAGAUCUUGCUCUGGUCUGUUCCUAACAAUCUAUGCUGUAGGAAAAAAAAAAAUCCACUGUAGAAAAGCACAUCCUUGAAAGUAUAUAAAUUAUACCAAAGUUUUGCAUGACACACAUUCCAGAGAAAUUAAAACUGUAAGUAGGUUUACAUGUUAUCAUUUUGUAAUAACUUCAUAAUAAAAAUCAGAAAAAAUUCCUCACAAAAAUUCUUCGCUUUAAAAAACUAAGGUAAAGAACAGGAAGGGUACGAGGUGGUCACAUUUGGGCUGAAAGUAUGAGUAAGAAAUUUAUAUUCACUACUUUUUAUCAAGUCUAACCAAUUUUAAUAGAAUUGAGAAUGGAAGUGACUCCACUAGUUCAUUUAUACAGCAUCUCCACAGAAAUACAAGAAUACAAAACACCUCUGCAGAUUUCACAGAGGAGCUUUACACCUCAUUACACUCGAGAUAAAAAUCUAAUGCUCUGGAAGAUUCAAUAUGUAGCUUAAAAGAUUUUAGUAAUUUUAAGAGUGGAGUCUCACCUUUUGUUAAUAUUUGUUUAAUAUGCAAUUAAAUUCCACUUCUAUUGGCCCUCAGAUGAGGAUGGUGAAUGGGAGAAGGGACUGUAUCAUAUCACUGACAUGCCUUCUAAAUGGGACAUUUGAAUUUGUAAACUCCUUCCUUCUCUAUGAGAUGGGAAGCAACAUGUGCUACAAAGAAUAGGCACGUAUUGAACCUCCUUUGAUUAAGAUCAACAGCCGAGAUUUGCUGUCAGGACUGCAGCCUCUAAGCACAAAAGAAUAGGCAAUAUACUGUGUCUGGGUUAGCAAUUCAACAGGGCUGCUUGCACAGGCAGGCAAACUUGAAAAAAAAAAAUCUGUUUAAUUGUAUUUAGUUGUCUGCCUGUCUGUUUCACUUUAAAUGGGGUGAAUUAUUUCCACAUUCCUGAGCAGACUUGCAGAUGCCUGUCAUUCCAGUAAUAUUUUUGUGUUCUUUUCAUCCCCAUCUUUCUAAUCAAUUUAUUUGUCUUUUUGAAGUGGUGUUAUACUCAAUGUCCCCCAUACUUCAAAGGUAUUCCAGAUUUCAGAAGCAGUCCUGUUCUUUGAAAUUAAACCCUAGUUCCCAUUUGCCACCUAUGUGUGUAAAAAAAAGAAGCAGUAUGCUAGGACAAAGUCUUUCCAAUGAAAUAUUGGAAUGUACUGAGAACAACUGCACCAACAGAAGAGGUAUCUUAAAUUUAGUUCUGAUUGUAACAGAGAAGAGCUCACAAAGAGACUUAAAGUAAUGGCUAAUAUAUAUGAAGGGAAUCACUGAAUAUUGAAGACAAGAAGCUCUCCACAAAAGAAAUGUCAACAAAUUGGGUAAAAUGAUUAAUAGAAAUUAUGUGGAAGAAGUUCCUAAAAGGUAAAGGACUACAGAAUUGCUGGCAGACACUAAAAAGCAGGCUGCACUGAAGAUGCCAUCAAAUUGUCCUGAUGCAGAGGAAGAUGUUUAUGGCUUCAGCAAGAGCUCUUCAGUGCCCUGGAUGUCAAGUAUUUGACACACAAUAUAAGUACAAAGAAAAACGUAAGCAUGGAAAGCAAAUAUCAGGAAGACCAUGACACAAAUACAUUGCAACUACUAAGAGGCAUAAAUGAUAGCAAGGGAGUUUUUGUGAAUGUUUUUGAAGUUAGAGGACAAUGAAGGACAUGGAACUCCAUUGCCAAAUAAAAGCUUUAAGUCUGCAUUUAAUGCAAUUAAUUUAAAUAAAAAAGAAAGAGAGGCUGAAACAUAAGGAGAACAGGUUAAAAAUAUUUAAAUGAGCUUGGCCUAUUUAGGGUGCAAAGGUUUCAUGAAAUUCACUCUAGAGCAUUUUUAAGAAACAGCCUCUGAAAUUUCAAACACAUUUUUGAGAAUUUGAGUAAAAUGGUCCCAGAGGACUGCAAGAGAAGAGACUUUGAAAUUCACAAAGAUAUUAGAACAAGUUACUGAACAACCAACUGCAACAUGUUGAAGGUGUUGAAGAAGUCGAGAUUUUUUAUGUCAGAAGCCAAUUCAGCCUAUUCUGUUGGCCUUGUAAGAAAAGCAAAGUUUUUGACAAUGGGGGUGGUGAGGCACUGGCACAGGCUGCCCAGAGAAGCUGUGGAUGCCCCCAUCACUGAAGAGUUGAAGGCCGGGUUGGAUGGGGCACUGAGCAGCCUGGUCUGUUGGAAGUGUCCCUGUCUGUGGCAGGAAGCUUGGUUCUAGACAAUCAUCAAAGGGUCCCUUCUAACCCAAACGGUUCUAUGACUAUAUUUGAUACAUCUUCAUGUUCACAAGGUUUUCUGACUCCACAACACAUGACAUUCUUGAAAGCAAGCCCAGUUGUCAAAUCUCCUUUUCUCCAUGCUUCGCCACGAGGCUCACUGGCUUGUUAAUCACACUUGAAAGAGUUCUUGUAGUUCUGCAUCCAGCAACAAGAACAGUCAUAAAAUCAAAUCUGACAGCUUGUUCUCCUACAAGGCUACUGACUAAGAAUGCUCUUUCGAUUUUAAGACACAUGAAAUGCUCAAAUCAUUUUAAGUAAUACUGCUACUGCAGUGCUCAAACUAAUUACAGACAUGUGGAAAGGUUUAAUCCUGAUGUAACCAACCUUCUCCCACAUCAUCAGGAGAGAGCACUAGCCAGCACCAGGGCAUAAUAGAGACUUCUCUUGAAGACAGAGUGGUAGAACAAAGAUUGAAACAUUUUAUACAGAAAGGAGGAAAGGGAAGCAAACAUAUCUGACUUCUAGCAUGUCACAGUGUGUUAUCAAAAUAUUUUAUUUAAAUGGAUUUAUACUCCUUUCUGUCAGUUACCAAGUUAAAAUGCUACAGGAAGUGAUAUUCUUUACCUAGGGACUUGCUCCUCUUUUCCAUAUAUUUCAGCAAUACUGUAUUACACUGUCUGUCAUAUAAAAAUCUGGUAUUUCUUCACUAAUUCAGUGAAAAUGGCCAAAAUAAUUACUUGCACAUGAUCGAGUGAUUUGCAGGGUGGAAAAAAGAAGCCAAGCUACUUUGAAACAUGAAUGUAAGUAUUCUGCUUCCUAUGAUCAGUCCACAAUUUCAAGAUUCAAGGCUACAGGAUCUUUGUCAUAAAAGGCCUAGAUAUUUAAUUUUUUAAGCUAUUUAAGCAUUUUCUGCUUAUCAAAAUUCAGUCAACAGGUCAAGACAAAAGUGUAGUGUAGGAAAAAAAAAUCUACUUUUUCAUUAACAACACUCUUCAACUGAAAUCUCAUUUGUUUACUCCAUUUAUAUCUGGUCAGAGAAAUUACAUACUGGAUAUAAUGACAGAGACACAAUAAACACAGAAAUUAAAUUCUACUACCUUGUCCUAGAGUUGCAGAUCUGGUUAAAGAGGCAUCCUCCUGUCCUUUGAGUUGCCUUUUAAGUUCUUCUGCAGAUUCAGAAUGCAGCUGCAGGAAGUCUUUAGUGGCAGCUGAAGCCUCCUCUUUAAUGGGAUUUAUCAUUCUCUGCAGAACUGGGAUGUCUUCCUGCCGGACUCGCAAACAGAGUUUCUCCAUCUCUCUCAUAUUGGCACGGAGUUGCUGCAAGAGUAUUAAAAUUAUUUUGUAGCUUACUGUGUGAGCACAUCAGACACUUCUAGUGCCUGGGAAGCACCUAUUGUCAGGAGCAAGGGAGAAACAUUUUUGAAUCCAUCACCACCAAUACUUUCAUUUUUCUGGCUGUCAGUUCUGUACUUUAUCCACUUCUUCAAGACAGUUUAAUUUUGGGUUUCAAUUAAAGUAUUUAACUAAUUAAUUCACUAUGUAAUUCCUGAAGUUAUUUAUGUUUCUCUGGUCAAUUUAGGUCUCUUCCAAAAUAUAUACACAAACUGCAAUAAUAUCCAAGUAAGGUAAGUGACUACUUCUCAAAAUUUCCUUUUUUUUAUAAUGAGUAGUGACUGUGAUCAUCACAGACCUCAGGAUAUAAUAAUUCAUAAUCCCCUACUACCCCAAGACAACUUCAGGGACAAAGGAGAAAAGAUUACUUUUUUAUUUUGAUUUUUUUUCUUCAGAUGAAGGAUAAAUAUAUUUAUUUGACUGGAAUAUCACAUUCAAUAAAAUAUAUUAAUAUUUCUAUAGUUACAAGACUUCUGAAAAGAGAUAAACUGCUCAUGACCACCAAGAAGAGUAUAUGUGCAGGCAUUUCUCAUGAGAUAUGUUUCUUUCUGAAUUAAAAAUAAAGGGCUUUUUCAUUGCCUGGGCAUUAAAAAGGCACACAAAUUUUCUCAUACCAGAAACGAAAAGAAGAAAUUUACAGUUUAAAUUACACCACUUAUUGUUUUAAGACAGAGUUUUUAUCUAAUUAUUAAAAAUAAAUAAAUAAACUGUAAUAAAAGUAUAUUCUCUGCAUUACUUUACAGUGAUACAAUAAAUUCUAUUCUUUGUCGCAUUAUUUACCAAUUGUUUUGAAUAUUCUUCUUACAACAGAACAAGAGAAUGGGUUGACACCAAUGAGUGGUUAGAAACAGAAAUGUUUUCUUCCAGAAUACAAACCAGGUAGAGGUAAUGCCUUAGAAAUGUAAAACUGGCCAUCUGGAAAAGCAAGAACUAGAUGGAACUAAAAUUUGAUUUAUAUACACUAGUGGAAUUAAUUGUUUUUAAUAUUUAUGAAAAAAAUAGUAGAAAAUAUAAUUAGAGAAGAAGGAAGGAAAUUAUUCAACAACGUGGUGAAGUAACACUGCACAAGCUUCCAAGAAAGAACUAUUGAUUUGUUAAAAUCAUGUAUCAAAUUACUAAGAUUAGAUUAUAUUGUAUGCUUAAAUUAAGAGUACCAUUAGCCAAAUUAGGCUGCAUUAUUCAAGACUAACCUCAGGUAAAACCACUGAUUGACAAUUAAAAAAAGGGAGAUACAAAAAGAAAAAAACAAUACUGGAAGACACUGAGCUGAGUUAGAAACAUGGUAGGCAGUAACUUUCAUCAAACAUUGCUCAUCUCAGUCUACCUCAUACUCCUGGUAUCUUCCCUCCAAGGUCUGCCCCUAAGUACUGAAAAAAGGAGAAUGUCACCACUGUCAUGGUGUACCAUGUGCCAAAACUCUUGCUUUAUAGUCUUGGAAUUUUAUCUAAGAAACAAAGUGGGACUAUCUAAACACAACACUCAACCAUCUAAUUUCUUAGAACUAUAUGUAAUGACUGAGAUUGAUCAUGCUGUUUUAUUUCAUGAAAAAAAGAAAUUAUUAUUAUCCUGUCUUUGGCCACAAUGAAGACAAAAAAAAAAAAAACAACAAAACAACAACAACAACCCAGACAUGGCAAACAAAAACCUGUAGAACAGUGACAACUGUGAGUUUGGGGUGAGAUAAAAAUGGUUCCACAGUAGCUUCUUUUUGAAGAAAAAAGAGAAUUUUGCCAUUGAAAUUGAGUUAAAAUGUAGUUCUGCUUAGGAUCUGUACCAUUACAAGUUUGUGCAGUGACCAACAAAACACAACUGGCUGAUGGGAAUUUACACAGAUCCUGAUUAGAAGUUUCAAGAGGUAUGAAACUACUCACUGAUCCUCACUUUCACUGUUCAUUAUUACCUUGCUGGUCAAAGAGAAAUAUUUCUGAGCAAGAAGACAGAGAAAUCAGAUAAUGAUAUUUUCUUAUUUAGUAAAAUUUAAUUUUAGUAGCUCUUCCUUUAUGGAUUUGAAUAGAGGAGUCUUGUUCCACUUACUAUGAAUUAAACAAACAGUGAAUGGAUUCAGCCUAGCAAGCAAGUUCAGCCCUGCUGUGAGGAGACACAUCCCAGGAGCUCACCAGAAUGUGACAUCAUAAAUGUUAUGGAUAUGCAAAUGACUGUGACUACUUAUCAUUAUAAUUACAAUGGCACAGAGUUUAAUUUCUAGGUAGAGCAUAAAAGUGUAUCACUCUCAUCCCAACUGUUUGCACUUUUAAAACCAAGCUUAGCGAGGAAGGUAUUUCAAAAUUCUCUUUUCAUUUGUGGGAACUCCUGAGUUUCUAACUCUGCAAGUUCAGUCCAAAACACACAGAAUUUUUCUUUAUAAUAAUUGCAGUUUUGGUCCAAAAUCAAACUUCCAAAAUCAAACUACAAUUUUUGUUUCAAGUGGCCUUCUCACAAAAACUGUAGGAAAAUAAAACUGGUGAAAACCUUG